rnacentral:lncRNA from 1 species
AUGUGUGCUACCCUGUGCAGAAUAACAUACGUCUUUGGAGGCUUCCGAGGCAAAAGCCUAGAAGAUCACUACAGCCAGCUGGCAAAGAUGGAAAGUGUCAAGUCAAUAGACGCUGCUUCCUUAGGAGAUGUCUCAUUCUGGUCAAGCAUCUUAGAAUUUCGUCCUGCAGAAAUAGCAAUUGCUUUUAUUUUCUGAAGAGUUGGAAGUAAAUGUCUCCAGCGCACAAGAACAACUCUUUUUUGCCAAGUCUCUUAAAGUCCAUCAUGUCUCUCCACCCUUUGGUGGACUCUCUUGUCGUUACUUUUUUUUUUUUUUUUUUUAAUUUAUAGUUUUAUAAGAAUGAUUACCAGGUUUUAAUUAAGCAAAUUUAGGUAUGGCUAUAGUGGUGGUUUUUACCUAAAUUCUUGGAUUCUGCUAUUUGAUGUUCUUCAUACAAAAUUUGAAAUAGCAAUUUUAUUUAACAAACAUAGUCUUAUUUUCAAAAAACACUUAAGUAAAUGGUUAAAUUCCCAUUUUUUUUCCCUUUUCCUCUUGCCUAUGUGUUUAUGAGCUUUGCUAAUGUGGGGAAUGUGAUGACAGUAUUAUUCAUAUAAUUUUUUUUGUCAGCUACACAGUUCCCUAGAUCUGUCUUGCAUCAAUCACACUGAGCCAAAAUCUGUGAUUUCUAAUAAGUUCUUGACUGUACAAGAAGUUUUGCUCAAUUUAAGACCUGAAGCAUUUGGCCUGUAUUUUUUCCUGUAUUAAAGAACCUCAUCAUGUUUACAUGAAGUAAACCUAGUAUUCUUUUCUUUUCUACUGGUUUUCCUUUCCAGGAUCCCAUUUCCUCUAAGACACCUGGCAUGUAAAAUUGGCUGACAGGAGUGCUGCAGAGUGCAUGAGCCUUGG